rnacentral:rRNA from 1 species
UACGUAGGGGGCAAGCGUUGUCCGGAAUCAUUGGGCGUAAAGCGCGUGUAGGCGGCUCGGUAAGUCUGCUGUGAAAGUCCAGGGCUCAACCCUGGGAUGCCGGUGGAUACUGUCGAGCUCGAGUCCGGAAGAGGCGAGUGGAAUUCCUGGUGUAGCGGUGAAAUGCGCAGAUAUCAGGAGGAACACCAAUGGCGAAGGCGGCUCACUGGACCGGUACUGACGCUGAUGCGCGAAAGCGUGGGGAGCAAACGGG